GGACAGCUGGCCGAGUGGUCGAAGGCGCUCGCCUGGAACGCGAGUGUAGAGCAAUCUACCUAGAGUUCGAAUCUCUAGCUGUCCACCA
rnacentral:tRNA from 1 species